UUAAUGAUGGCUUCGGGAUGCUCUCCUGCGGUCCAAGGGGUCUGAGCCGGGCCAGGGCCUCUCCGGCUGUCCCCGUCCCUCUGUCCGCCAGGCCAGGCUCCGUCCGUCUGUCCUGCUGUUUCCCGUCUUCGCCAUUUCCUUUCCCCGUGGGUCUGUGUCAGCCUUUGUCCCUCCGUCAGCCCCAACCCGGGUGUUUCCGUCCCCGUGUCUGCCGGUGCCAGUCCCCGUCAGUCCUGUCCCCCUGUCCUGGUGUUUCCUGUCCGUGUGUCCUUCCGCGCUCCUCCUCCCACAUCGCCUGGCCUCAGCCCCCGUCCUGCUGUCCCCGUCCUGCUGUCCCCGUCCUGCUGUCCCCGUCCUGCUGUCCCCGUCCUGCUGUCCCUCUGCCCACUCCCUCUGUGCCCGACCUGCUCGGUUCUGCUCCCAGUCCAUGUCCCUCUGUCCUGGCUUAUCCUUGUCCCUGGGUGUCCUAUCCCUGUCCUGGAUUCUGGAUGUGUUUCUUGCCUCAUCCCAGUCCCCGGGUGUCCCCUGUCCAGGUCCCUGAAUGUCCCUUGCUUGGUCCUGGUCCCUGUGUGUCCCCUACCCAUCCCUUGGUGUCCCAUCCUUGGGUGUCCCUGGAUGUCCCUUGCCUACUCCAGGUGCCUAGGUGUCCCCUGCCCAUCCCUGAGUGUCCUAUCCCCUUAUGUCCCCUGCCUUGUCCCUGUGUGUCCCCUAACCACCCCUGGGUGUCCCAUCCCUGUCCUGGUCCCUGGGUGUCCCUUGCCUAGUCCCUGUGUGUCCCCUACCCAUCCCCUUAUGGCCCUUGUCUUGUCCCUGGGUGUCCCCUGCCCAUCCCUGAGUGUCCUAUCCCCUUAUGUCCCUUGCCUGGUCCCUGGUGUCCCCUACCCCUCCCUGAGUGUCCCAUCCCCUUAUGUCCCCUGCCUUGUCCCUGGGUGUCCCCUACCCACCCCUGGGUGUCCCCGAAUGUCCCUUGCCUGCUCCAGAUCCCCGGGUGUCCCCUGCCCAUCCCGGUCCCCGGCCUGUGCCCGCUCUGGUCCCCGUCCCGCCGCUCCCUCGGUGCCGGUCCCGGUGCCGGUGGCCGCGGUCCCUCCCGUCGGG
rnacentral:lncRNA from 1 species